rnacentral:rRNA from 1 species
AAUGAACGCUGGCGGCAUGCUUUACACAUGCAAGUCGAACGAUUGUCGUAACCAUUGAAGCUUCGGCCGAUUUAGUUACAAUGGCAAUAGUGGCAAACGGGUGAGUAACGCGUAGGAACUUUCUAUAAGUUUGGCAUAGCCAGGUGAAAACCUGGGUAAUUCCAAAUGUGACCGCAAGGUUAAAGGAGCAAUUCGCUUAUAGUGAGGCCUGCGUUCCAUCAGCUUGUUGGUGAGGUAAAGGCUCACCAAGGCUAAGACGGAUAGCUGGUCUGAGAGGAUGAUCAGCCACACUGGGACUGCGACACGGCCCAGACACCUACGGGUGGCAGCAGUGGGGAAUUUUCGGCAAUGGGCGCAAGCCUGACCGAGCAAUGCCGCGUGCAGGAUGAAGGCCCUAUGGGUUGUAAACUGCUGUGGAGAUUAAGUAAAUACUGAACUGAUCUCUAGAAAGAGGUUGCUAACUCUG